rnacentral:rRNA from 1 species
UACGUAGGGUCCAAGCGUUAAUCGGAAUUACUGGGCGUAAAGCGUGCGCAGGCGGUUGUGUAAGCCAGAUGGGAAAUCCCCGGGCUUAACCUGGGAAUGGCAUUUGGGACUGCACGGCUAGAGUACGGCAGAGGAGACUAGAAUUCCUGGUGUAGCAGUGAAAUGCGUAGAUAUCAGGAGGAAUACCGAUGGCGAAGGCAGGUCUCUGGGUCGAUACUGACGCUCAUGCACGAAAGCGUGGGGAGCAAACAGG